UACGAAGGGUGCAAACGUUGCUCGGAAUUAUUGGGCGUAAAGCGCACGUAGGCGGCUUGGCAAGUCGGAUGUGAAAUCCCUCGGCUCAACCAAGGAAGUGCAUCCGAAACUGCUGAGCUUGAGUACUUAAGAGGAUCGCGGAAUUCCCGGUGUAGAGGUGAAAUUCGUAGAUAUUCGCAAGAACACCAGUGGCGAAGGCGGCUGACUGGUCCGGAUCUGACGCUGAGGCGCGAAAGCGUGGGGAGCAAACAGG
rnacentral:rRNA from 1 species